ACUUCGACAUCAUUUGUUAAGAUGGAGUAGAGAGAACUAACUUGGGGCUGUGGCUCAGAUGGAUAGAGCAAGCGCCUCCUGAAUGAUCGGGCACCCUCAGAGGAAACUCUGGGCGUGAAUGUGGUCAAAUUCAAGGAAGCCUAAGUUCAUGUUAGGAUAAGGUAAUCUUGAGCCAAGCUUUAUCUCAGAAGAAGAUAAAGAAGGUGCAGAGACUCGACGGCCACCACCUAAAGGCUUUUCGCCAAUGGUGAAGGGAGAGUCCAGAGAGUGAGGAAACUUACAC
rnacentral:ncRNA from 1 species